UGGGGAAUAUUGCACAAUGGGGGAAACCCUGAUGCAGCGACGCCGCGUGAGCGAUGAAGGCUUUCGAGUCGUAAAGCUCUGUCCUAUGGGAAGAUAAUGACGGUACCAUAGAAGAAAGCCCCGGCUAAUUACGUGCCAGCAGCCGCGGUAAUACGUAAGGGGCGAGCGUUGUCCGGAAUUAUUGGGCGUAAAGCGCGCGCAGGUGGUUUAGAAAGUCUGAUGUGAAAGCCCACGGCUCAACCGUGGAGGGUCAUUGGAAACUAAUAAACUUGAGUGCAGGAAAGAAAAGUGGAAUUCCUAGUGUAGCGGUGAAAUGCGUAGAGAUUAGGAGGAACACCGGUGGCGAAAGCGGCUUUUUGGCCUGCAACUGACACUGAGGCGCGAAAGCGUGGGGAGCAAACAGG
rnacentral:rRNA from 1 species